UUUUUUUUUCAGCACUAUCGCUGGUUGUUUAUUCAUUUUUUUAUUAGUUUCAGAUUGAGAAACUCAUUUUGAGUUUGUUUGUUGCAGGAAAAAGUUUUAACUCAAUUCUGAACCAUUUGUGGGGUUCAGGCAAAUAUGAGUUAGGCUGUUCAUUUUGGGGUUCAGGCUUUGCUGGUAUCGGAUAUAUGUCAAACUUUAUAGUGGCAUAUGCAUUCAAUAAAUCGCAUUGGAGACUUUAAUGUAGAUUUUAGCUAUUUUUAUUCUACUGUUGAAAUGGUUAUUAAUUGAUAAUGAUCUCUUAAACUAUCCUUAAUCAGGAAAGCUGGCUUAUAGAUUAAAGAAUGAAGGGGCAAAGGUAUUGAUGGCAGCAGGGAUACGUUUCGAGCUGCAGCCGGUGACCAACUGGAGAUAUAUAUGGGCUGAGAGGACUAGCUGUGAGAUAGGUGUGGCUGAAAAAGAGAAGGCCAAAGCAGCAACAGGUAGGCAACACAAAUAGUAGGCAGAUCAACUCAUACAAGAGCUUGAAGAAACAUUUAAGUUCUGAACCUUUUGUGAUGUCGAAGACGAUAGAUAAUGAAACAGUUUGCUGUCUUAGCAAGUGAUGGACUGUGGAAGGUGAUGACAAGCCAAGAAGUUGUGGAUGCCAUAAAUAAUAUAAAGGAUGCUCGGGCAGCAGCAAAGCACCUUAUUGAAGAGGCAGUCAAUAGGAAGAGCUCGGAUGAUAUUUCCUUGUGUAGUUGUAAGAU